rnacentral:lncRNA from 1 species
AGUUGGACCCUAGGCCAAACACGAUGACGGUUUGUUUAUGUUGUUCUUUUGUUUUGGCCUGGCAGGCCAAACCAAAACAGAGUCUGCUUUCGUGUUGGGGCCUUUUCAAUCAAACUUUUGUUUUAAUUUUGAAAGGGGUUUUUUAUUUUAUUUUCGCGGCCAAUUCGAUAGAAUUCUGAGUAAUUGAGGACAAAUCGUGAUAUUGUGAUGUGAAAAAUAGAAUUUUACAGUGGAAAAAGUUGUUUAUUCUGCAAUAAGGUUGGGAAGUUGCCGUGGCUGCCGUGUUAUGUUCCUUCUGCAUUUGUCAAGACAAAUUCCUUUAGUGUUCAUAAUCCAGAUGAUCGCUUCGGCUGGUGCUUCUAGCAUUCUCUGGAUUUUCAUAUACUUAUAAUGGACGAACUUGUGUUAAUCAAACUGCUGAAAUUGUCGCUGAAACCAGGCCACAAUAUCGCUAGGCCGUUCGUAAAAAGCUACUGGGUCGGUGGACGGUCAUGAGCAACUCCCAAGAAAAAAGCGGAGCACUAGCAAUGGAGAGUUUCAUCGGAACGAGAUGGCGACGGUAAGACACGGGAAUGCAAACUAAUGUGAGAAAUGGCUUCAGGAAAGAUCGAAAAUCCGAUAGCCAAUGUUCCACGAUGGAGUUUCUAUCAUUAUCCAACCGAAGAUUGGAUCCGAAGACUGCCGAUCGAAGGAAAAAUGAAGUUACAGAAUAAAUAAAAUCUAUUUGCAAACAUU